CUUCUGGAGUUCCCAGACCUCUGGGUUGGCUGCUCCAUGUUUCCACAGUUGUCCCGCCUGCUGGGUCCUUGAGAUCAUAGCCCCAGACCCUUCUCUCUGUGCAGGUCUGACUCAUCUGGUCCCCUAUGCAGCACUGUGUCUCUGGGGACAUGGCCUGUCCUUCUGAGAGUGGACUCUCAUCAUUCUUUUUGGCCACCUAGUACCAGCACCUUCUUCCUAACAAGGAAGAGCCUGCCUCCCUCUGUGUAAGCUGAAAUGCCAGACAUUCGCCCUCUAAGCCUUUCUGACCGCUAGGACCCCUAUCAGUCACAUCCCUCCAACUAAUGAGGGUCACAAAGAAGCAGGCACCACCCGGAAUCCGGUAAUCUGUCUACUGAUGGCAGGGGCUGCGCCGGCUGCGGGAGCAGCUUCAUCUGGCUCCCAGAAGCAGGGGGCAGGACCGGGGGCCCAGCUGGGCAGAUUGGGGUGUCAAAGCCAAAGGCACGGGCAGCGAUGUCCUUGUGGUUCCUCUCUGGAUGUUUAGCCUCUAAGCAUGAUGCUAGGACCCCCCCAGCGGGUCUGAGGGGUCCAAAUAUCCUUUAACAAGUGCCCUUUCUGUUUACGUCAGCCAGAAUACCUUUCUAUUGCUUUGAAUUCUGUUCAGUUCUAUUGUAAUGAAAGACCCUGACUUGUCCCUCACUCUUUUUCAAUUUCUGGGUUUUUUCCUUACUCUAAUAUCCCUUUAAAAUACACUUACUAAAAAAAUUAAUUGAUGUACAGCAAAAUAUUAAGUAAAUGAAAAGAUCUUUCAAAUUAUGACCCAAAAAUCCAGAAGCCACAAAAGAUUGGACAAUAUCUAUUAAAGCUGCAAAGGCAUGUGUCCUUUGACCCAAAAAUCCCACUUUGGGGCAUUUAUCCUACCCCUCUCCUGUUCAAUUAAUGUAGCCUGGAGAGUAAAGAUCUUCCCGGUUGGAACAGAGAAGCCUCCUCAUCUCCCCCCUCCUCUGUUUUCUACAGGAGAGUCUCCCAUUGUGCGGACAGGCCACAGCUCCUCGAGCCGGCCCCCUCGUGGGGAACACUUGAGUUGCUCCCCAUCUUUUGCUGUUGUAGUCGGUCAAUACCUCAUCCACGUGCCGGCUCAUAUGCACAAAGUGGAGCAUCCGUGCACUACAUCAAGGGAGAAAUCAAGAUACAGAACCGUCUAUAGGCAUAUGUUAUGUUUUGCACAAGAAGGAGGGAAAAUCAGAAUAUGUCUUCAUCCUUGGUAUACUUCCAUAAAGAUACUCUGGAAGGACAGACAAAAACCUAACAACCUUACCAGCCUCUUGUGGUUGGUGGGGGCUGGGGACCUGGAUGACAGUGCAGAGUGGGAGAGAGACCUCCUCUUUCACCUUCUAGCCUUGUUUUGCUUUUAGAACCACGUGAUUGUAUUACUCGGUUUAAAACAACGACAGCAGAAAGCGUAAACAAGUGCAGCCAUGGUACGUAGAUGUGACCUAAAUCCUGAAGGUGGCAGUUGGUGGCUGAAUUUGGAACUGCUCCCUCCUGUGGUCUUGGGGUGUCUCUUAGGCCCAGAUUCCUCCUUCACCACAGGAGCCAACAGGGCGCUGGGGAGAGAAUGGAGGUGACACUUGCGAAUUCGGACGCCCGCCCCGCGGUGUGCAUGUGAGUGCCAGCAGCUCGCAUGCCUGCCCACACCACCCCCUUUCUCCCCUUGUCCUGGGGCGUUGGUUAGGGGACCUCUUGCUGAAACCAGACACUUUAAAUGCUCCCUCCCUCCUAGGAGAGAAGAGUCCAGAGGGGCCUGCCCGAGCUCUGGAACAGUCAAGGGACAGGCCACAUUGGCCCCGUGACAUCUUAUAGAUGUCACCUGUUCCUGCCAGUGCAGCCACGAUCAGCCCCACACACGGGAAGGCAGCAGAGCAGCCCGAGCCUGUGUUCCCGGCACUCUGUGGAGGCUGAGCUGGGCACACAUCUUCAGGUCACCCCUCUGCAGCCCGACUGGGGGAGAGCGAGGAGCCGGUGGCUGGGGGAGGGCCGCGCGCCUGUUCUGUCUCCAACUGCCUUUGUUCGAGAAUAAACACGCUGGGGCUGUCUCCCUACCUGAAAGCCACAUCUGCUGGAGAGAGAAAUCGUUGACAAUCUCUGCUUUAGAUGUACAGAAAGUCUGAAAUUGCUUGGCGACCAGGCAGGAGGGAGCCUGGGCGAGGCCGGGGGAUCCAGGCAGCAGCUGUAAAACCUUUUUCCUAAAACUGCCCUCAAGCAUGAUGAACAGGAGACAUUCGGAGCUGUUAACACCCUCCAGUUAAUUCAUAGCUCUUGAAAGUUCUCACAUACAUUGCCCUGAAGGCCCUUCCUGGUUUAACGCUGUGUGUGGUCGCGACGGCUCUGGCAGCACGGUCAUCCAGGCACGGGGAGUGCACCCAGGCUCUCGGUCCCGCUGGUGGCACCUGAUGUUCGUAAGAACUUUUCGAGAGCUGGCUCACCUUACAAAGAGGGAAGAUCGAGGCUCAGGCCCUGGUGCAGCAGAGCUGGGGUUUGAACCGCCGUCCCUCCACCAUCCUGAGCUCCUGGUGCAGGGAGAGCUGGGUGUGCUUCCGACCUUCUGGGGUGGCCCUGGAGUGAACUUGGUGGCCAUGCCAGCGCCACCCCUGGUGAGCCUCUGCAGCCCGUCCCUGGAUCCUACUGAGAAACUGCCCUGGCAGGUGGGAGGAGUGGAGCCUGGGGGAUCUUGGGGUCUUGGCGUCCACGCAUGGAUGGGAAAAGAUAGUGCCAGCUCCGGCCUCUCCGGGGAAGGGAAGGGAAAAAUGCAACACCAACUAUGU